UACGAAGGGGGCUAGCGUUGCUCGGAAUUACUGGGCGUAAAGCGCACGUAGGCGGAUUGUUAAGUCGGGGGUGAAAUCCUGGAGCUCAACUCCAGAACUGCCUUUGAUACUGGCAAUCUAGAGUCCGGAAGAGGUGAGUGGAACUCCUAGUGUAGAGGUGGAAUUCGUAGAUAUUAGGAAGAACACCAGUGGCGAAGGCGGCUCACUGGUCCGGUACUGACGCUGAGGUGCGAAAGCGUGGGGAGCAAACAGG
rnacentral:rRNA from 1 species